UUAUUUAAAAAUUUUAUUAUAAGUAAAUUAAUUAAAUUUAAGGCUAUUAUAUUUAUUGUUGUUUAAAGUAAUAUUUAAGGUUUUAUAAAUAAAUUAUAAGUUAAAGUAAAUAAGUAUUGAUUAUAAAAUUAUUAAGAAUUAAUUAUUUUAUUAUUAAAUGUAAAUGUUUUAAUUUGAAAUAACUUUAAAUAUUUAAAAUAUUAUUAAGUUGAAUUUAUUUUUUGUACCUUUUGUAUCAGGGUUUAUUAAUAAAAAUUUAAUAUUUUAAUAUUCUCGAAUUAAUUAGAGUUAAUAUAAUAUUUAAGUUAAUGUUUAAUUAUUAUUUAUAAUAUUAUAUUAGAGGAGAUAUUCUAGUCAAUAAUUAAGAUAUCUAGUUUUUUUAGAAAUAAAUUUAAUUUAUUUAUUAAAUUAAAUAUAUUUAAAUUUAAAUAUUUUAAGUUUAUAGUUUAUUAUAGGGGAUUUAUUUAAUAAAAAUAAUUUAAGGGAUUAGCUUUAAAUUUAUAUUUAUAAAUAGUAUUAAAAUAUUUAUUUUAUAAAUUAUAGAUUUGAAAAUAGUUAUUAGUUUAAAUUUGUAAUAAUUUAUUUAUUUUUUUAAUAAAAAUUUAUUUUAAUUAUUUUAAUUAUUUAUAAAAAUGAUAUAAAUUAAUAAAAUAUUUUAUAUAAUAAUGAUAAAAUUAUUAUAAUAUUAUUGUUGUAAAGAUUAUAAUUUAAAGUAAAAUAAUUUUUAUUAUUUUAUUAUUAAAUAUAACUAUAAGGAACUAGACAAAAUUAAAGUAUUUACCUGUUUAACAAAAACAUGUCUUUUUGAUUUAAUAAUUUAAAGUCUAAUCUGCCCUAUGAAUAUUAUUUAAAUGGCCGCGGUAUUUUGACCGUGCAAAGGUAGCAUAAUAAAUAGUUUUUUAAUUAAAAGCUUGUAUGAAGGAUUGGAUAAGAUAUUUAUUGUCUCAUUAUUAUUUAUUUUAAAAUUUAAUUUUUAAGUUAAAAAGCUUAAAUUUAAUUAUAGGACGAGAAGACCCUAUAGAUUUUUAUAAAAUAUAUUAUUUUAUUUGUUUAAAUUUUAUUACUCAAAAUUGUUUAUAUUUUAUUUGGUUGGGGUGACUAUAAAAUUAAAUUAACUUUUAUAUGUAUAUUACAUUAAUUUAUGAAUUUUAUUAAAUUUAAUUUUUAAUAAAAUUAUUUUAUAUUUUUGAUCCUGAAUUUUAGAUUACUAGAUUUAAAUACCUUAGGGAUAACAGCGUUAUUUAUUUGGAGAGAUCAUAUUAAUAAAUAAGUUUGCGACCUCGAUGUUGAAUUAAGAUAAUAUUUAGGUGUAGAUGCUUAAAUAAUGGGUCUGUUCGACCUUUAAAUUCUUACAUGAUUUGAGUUCAGAUCGGCGUGAGCCAGAUCGGAUUCUAUCCUUAAUUAAUUAUUAAAUAUUUUUGUACGAAAGGACUUUAUAUUUUAAAUAAUUUAUAUUUUAUAAUGACUUAAAUUAAUUGAAAUUUAUUUU
rnacentral:rRNA from 1 species